rnacentral:tRNA from 1 species
GCCCUUAUAGCUCAGUUGGCAGAGCAGCACACUGUUAAUGUGAAGGUUCCUUCGUUCGAUCCGAAGUGAGGGCG